rnacentral:pre_miRNA from 1 species
UUGAAGAAUUUGAAGACUUCGACUUGCAUACUUGGAGGAUUUGAAGAAUGUUACUUACAUAUUUAAAGAAUUUGAAUACUUCAACU